rnacentral:lncRNA from 1 species
GAUUGUUUGCCUCCCAUUGACACAGUUUAUAAUCAUCACCUGAUCAAGGAGACCUUUCUCAACAAGUCCUGGUGCUUGCCUGAUGAAGUGAGCUACUCAGGCAGCUCAGGGUGAAGACCAUGGGGAGCACCACAAAGAGCUGCAGGACUCACCAUUAACAGAGAGAGAAAUUAUAACCUGUGUCCAGCAAGCUCACUGCCUGGCAAUCUUCCUCCCUUUCAUUUGCAGAGUGGCACACUAAAGCUGGCAAGACAGACUUUAUGCAAAGCCCUUCUGCAAUAAAGGAAACUUCUCUGCAGACAAAUGUUGGAUUAAACCAAUUCCCUGGACCAAGUGGUAGGGCACAGAUUUUGCUCCUGUUCUUUGAGAUGAGCCUCUUACCAGCUGUUAUGCCUAUGAACAUUUGUGCUUUCAAAUAAAAAUAUUAUUAAAAUGAAAUCUGUCUUUGUGCUUCCUAUGUUGCUGGUCUUAAAAGUGGACAGGUAUCACAAGGCCUAUAAAAAGAGCUUGGAGAGUGGUCUCUCAAUCGGUUUCCAUUUCUG